GUGCCAGCAGCCGCGGUAAAACGUAGGUGGCAAGCGUUAUCCGGAUUCACUGGGCGUAAAGCGCGUGCAGGUGGCUUCGUAAGUUGGACGUUAAAUUUCCCGGCCUAACCGGGAGGGGUCGUUCAAUACUGCGGGGCUUGAGGGCAGAAGAGGGGGGUGGAAUUGCCGGUGUAGUGGUGAAAUGCGUAGAUAUCGGCAGGAACACCUGUGGCGAAAGCGGCCCCCUGGUCUGCUCCUGACACUCAGACGCGAAAGCCAGGGUAGCGAACGGGAUUAGAAACCCCUGUAGUCC
rnacentral:rRNA from 1 species